CUCUCUCUCCCCGUAUCCUUUCUCUCUUCUACCCUCUCUCUCUUCGGUAGCCUCCUCCUCCUCCACCACAAACCCAGUUGCAUCUUCCUCGACCUCAACGCUCCCUCCACCACAGACCCACGUUCUGGGGAGUUCACGGCGGUUCCUCUUUAUCUUUGUCCCAUCUUUUUCUCUGCCGCUGCCUUUUCCCUUAGCCUUCCCCCUCAUCCUCUCUCGUAGCAGCUGCAUCUCCAUCUUCGAUCUCGAUCUCGAUCUUCUCCUGUAACAGCUGCAUCUCCAGGUUCGAUCUCGAUCUUCUUCUAUAGCCGCUGCAUCUUCCAGCUUCAGUUUGCAAUUAUGUGAAAGGAAAAUGGGUUGUUGGACCAUAAGAAGCCGCUGUAUUAUGGGCAUGGUUGUAAGUAAUGACUGUCAAGUAUGUGGUCUUGCCGAAUGACACAACGCACGGAUUUUUCAUAUGAGAAGGUUUCAUGGCAGCCAAAAGAUUGUCAAAUGGAAGAAUUUGAAGGCUCUAAGUUCUUGAAAAGGUUUAAAAUGUUAAAAUUAAGCAGUUUCGACCAUGUGCAAGGUUUCUUUUUAUUACUAUCUUGAAUCUGGUGUGAUGUGACCAUAGCCCCCUAGUUUUCAAAAAUCUGAUCUAUAAUGGUUGUUUCUCCUAUAUAUUGAAUCCAUUAUGGGCUCAAGUUAACGAAUUUCUCAAGUUGUGGUGUUUUGGUUAGUACAUCUCUUCAUAGACCAUUAGUCUUUCUGCACUUGAUCUUGCUAAGGCUUGCAGCAGUUUCCAAAUAAGGGACACCUCAUAAGCUACCUUGCAUUUUAAUUUCUCUUGUCUAUUCAUCUAUUUGAAGAAUUUAAGGUUUUUAACCUUAUUUGAGGAAUUAAAUAAGCCAAGUUGGGAAAUUGGGUUUUCUGUACGAGGCAGAUUUUCUGAAUUGGUCAUAUACCAACUUUAAUUUCUAAUACAAUCUGGCUUGCAUGCAUUUUUAUUUCCAGCUAGAGGCUUGACCGUAUUUGAGAAAUCCUUGCAGCUCCAUGUGGGCAAUUUGUGUUUGAAAAUUUGCCUGAAUGAAUUGAGAAAUCUUGUGGAAGUUGCAUGUUUAGUGAGCUUAUAUGCCUCAACUUGAACUCGUAGACUAUACAAUUAUACAAUGCUCACGCUCAAUGGGUACCUGUGUAUUUCUGGGAUUCCUUUUUUGUUGCUAUAUCUCCCAAUCAAGAGUACGAUGGCUCCUUUUUUGAAGGCUAUGUGAAUCAACAAACCACAUUACCUUUGUUCUUUAGGCAAUAUGAAAGAGAUUUGGAGAACUGGUUUGAAAGGGAAAUAGAAGCAAACUUUUCUGAUUUUGAUUUGUGUAGUUUUUCUGUUUAUUAUUACUUACCAAUGCUCUUUGCUUUUCGUUUUAUGGGUCUCCAUGUAUGUUGUUGCAGCACAUUAGUUCUGUUGGGAUUGUAGGGAUAAGUUAGUUGGUUAGUAGCUUAUGAGUGAAGCAAAGAAUACUUGUAUAAAUAACAAACACCUCUCUCCCUCUGUAAUUCAUUCAUUGUUCAAGUAAUACAAUUUUUAGUCAUUCACUUUC